CCUACGGGAGGCAGCAGUGGGGAAUUUUGGACAAUGGGCGCAAGCCUGAUCCAGCCAUGCCGCGUGCAGGAUGAAGGCCUUCGGGUUGUAAACUGCUUUUGUACGGAACGAAAAGACUCCUUCUAAUAAAGGGGGUCCAUGACGGUACCGUAAGAAUAAGCACCGGCUAACUACGUGCCAGCAGCCGCGGUAAUACGUAGGGUGCGAGCGUUAAUCGGAAUUACUGGGCGUAAAGCGUGCGCAGGCGGUUAUAUAAGACAGAUGUGAAAUCCCCGGGCUCAACCUGGGAACUGCAUUUGUGACUGUAUAGCUAGAGUACGGUAGAGGGGGAUGGAAUUCCGCGUGUAGCAGUGAAAUGCGUAGAUAUGCGGAGGAACACCGAUGGCGAAGGCAAUCCCCUGGACCUGUACUGACGCUCAUGCACGAAAGCGUGGGGAGCAAACAGGAUUAGAUACCCUGGUAGUCCACGCCCUAAACGAUGUCAACUGGUUGUUGGGUCUUCACUGACUCAGUAACGAAGCUAACGC
rnacentral:rRNA from 1 species